AUGAACGCUGGCGGCGUGCCUAAUACAUGCAAGUCGAGCGAACAGAUGAGGAGCUUGCUCCUCUGACGUUAGCGGCGGACGGGUGAGUAACACGUGGAUAACCUACCUAUAAGACUGGGAUAACUUCGGGAAACCGGAGCUAAUACCGGAUAAUAUAUUGAACCGCAUGGUUCAAUAGUGAAAGACGGUUUUGCUGUCACUUAUAGAUGGAUCCGCGCCGCAUUAGCUAGUUGGUAAGGUAACGGCUUACCAAGACAACGAUGCGUAGCCGACCUGAGAGGGUGAUCGGCCACACUGGAACUGAGACACGGUCCAGACUCCUACGGGAGGCAGCAGUAGGGAAUCUUCCGCAAUGGGCGAAAGCUUGACGGAGCAACGCCGCGUGAGUGAUGAAGGUCUUCGUAUCGUAAAACGCUGUUAUUAGGGAAGAACAAAUGUGUAAGUAACUAUGCACGUCUUGACGGUACCUAAUCAGAAAGCCACGGCUAACUACGUG
rnacentral:rRNA from 1 species